GUUGAAACACCAGUUCUUGUACGAUCACCAAAGUUAAGAAACGUUGAGCCUAAUCAGUACGAAGAUGGGUGACCACUUGGGAAUACCAGGUGCUGUAAG